AUCACCUGGGGAUCUUGUCACAAUGCGGAUUUUGAUCUAGUAGAAUGAAGGCAUUACCUGAAAUUCUGCAUUUAUAAUAAGUUUCCAGGUGAUGCUAA
rnacentral:pre_miRNA from 1 species